GCAUGGUAAUGGAUUUAUGGCAGGCCCUUGUCUAUGGUGAGCCUCUCAUAGUGUACCCAUGCCAGAGUAAAUUGCAACCUUGAACCAUUGCCCAGCCUUUUUACCUGUGGGCUGUGAGCACUGAAGGGGGUUGUACAAUG